rnacentral:rRNA from 1 species
UCAAGCUAAUAAGAGCGCAGGGAGAAUGCCUUGGCAUCAGGAGCCGAUGAAGGACGUGGUAAGCUGCGAAAAGCUGCGGGGAGUUGCAAGCAAACAUUGAUCCGCAGAUAUCCGAAUGGAGCAAUCCGCAUGGACAAUAUCCAUGCAUCACAUACUGAAUAAAAUAGGUAUGUGAGGGGAACCGCCUGAACUGAAACAUCUAAGUAGGGCGAGGAAAAGAAAUCAACCGAGAUUUUGUGAGUAGUGGCGAGCGAAAGCGAAAGAGGCCAAACCGAGAGUAGCAAUACUUUCGGGGUUAGGACAGCAUUUAGCAUUGUCAAGUUCUAGAUGAAAUGUAUGGGAAGACAUACCGAAGAAUGUGAUAGUCAUGUAAUCGAAAGGACGAGACAGCGAGCUGUAUCCAGAGUACCGCAGGACACGAGGAAUCCUGUGGGAAUAUGGGGGGACCAUCCUCCAAGCCUAAAUACUAACUGAUGACCGAUAGCGAAUAGUACUGUGAAGGAACGGUGAAAAGAACCCCGGGAGGGGAGUGAAAAAGAACCUGAAACCCUGUGCUUACAAGCACCGAGAGCACGUCAAAGUGUGAUCGGGUACCUUUUGUAGAAUGGUCCGGCGAGUUAUUGUAUGUGGCAAGGUUAAGUACUUAAGGUACGGAGCCGAAGCGAGAGCGAAUCUUAAUAGGGUGUUAAGUCGCAUGCAAUAGACCCGAAACCGAGUGACCUAUCCAUGUCCAGGCUGAAGUGGAGGUAAAACUCCAUGGAGGGCCGAACCCACGUUCGUUGAAAAGACCGGGGAUGAGGUGUGGAUAGCGGAGAAAUUCCAAUCGAACUCGGAUAUAGCUGGUUCUCUCCGAAAUAGCUUUAGGGCUAGCCUCAUGACAGAUUACCGGAGGUAAAGCACUGAAUGAGCUAGGGGUCGAAAGAUUACUGAACUCUAUCAAACUAAGAAUGCCGGAUAAUCGAUUCAUGGGAGUCAGACAGCGUGAGAUAAGUUUCGUUGUCAAAAGGGAAACAGCCCAGACCCACAGCUAAGGUCCCAAAGUAUAUUUAAGUGGAAAAGGAUGUGGGGUUGCAUAAACAACCAGGAUGUUGGCUUAGAAGCAGCCAUACAUUAAAAGAGUGCGUAAUAGCUCACUGGUCGAGUGACCCUGCGCCGAAAAUUCAACGGGGCUAAAAUGUACACCGAAGCUUGGGAUUCAUUCUUUUGAACAAAGCAGAUUAGUACCGAACAACGCCGAAGGCGUUCAAAUUCAACGAUAAGGUUAGAAAGGUAUUAGUAGGUUUUGUUCAAAAGAAUGAGUGGUAGGAGAGCGUCGAAUAAGGGGUGAAGUCAUAGCGGAAGCGAUGGUGGACUUUAUUCGAGUGAGAAUGCCGGAAUGAGUAGCGAGAAUUAUGUGAGAAUCAUAAUGGCCGAAAAUCCAAGGUUUCCUGAGGAAGGUUCGUCCGCUCAGGGUAAGCCGGGAGCUAAGGUGAGGCCGAAAGGCGUAGCCGAUGCACAUACGGUUGAAAUUCCGUAGCCGCCGAAAGAGUUAAGCACAGGGACACUUUAGAAGUGAUGAAGCCGGGCGAUGGUUGACCCGGUCGUAAGGGAUCGAAAAUAAGUAGAGAAGUCAUCAUAGAUAGAGGCAAGAAAAGCUGUGUGUAUAUCUAAGGCGCCCGUACCGCAAACCGACACAGGUAGAUAGGAAGAAGAUUCUAAGGCCAACGGGAGAAGGGUUGUUAAGGAACUCGGCAAGUUGACCCCGUAACUUAGGGAUAAGGGGUGCUUGAGCAAUCAAGCCGCAGAGAAUAGGCCCAGGCGACUGUUUAGCAAAAACACAGGUCUCUGCUAAAUCGAAAGAUGACGUAUAGGGGCUGACACCUGCCCGGUGCCGGAAGGUUAAGAGGAGGAGUGAGAGCUCUGAAUUGAAGCCCCGGUAAACGGCGGCCGUAACUAUAACGGUCCUAAGGUAGCGAAAUUCCUUGUCAGGUAAGUUCUGACCCGCACGAAUGGUGUAACGAUCUGGGCACUGUCUCAACAACCUGCCCGGCGAAAUUGUAGUACCGGUGAAGAUGCCGGUUACCCGCGACUAGACGGAAAGACCCCAUGGAGCUUUACUGUAGCCUAAUAUUGGACUUCGGUAUUUCAUGUACAGGAUAGGUGGGAGACUGGGAAGCAUGGCCGUCAGGUCGUGUGGAGUCGACCUUGGGAUACCACUCUUGGAGUGCUGGAGUUCUAACCUGCGGCUUUGAAUCAAGUCGGGGGACAUUGUUAGGUGGGCAGUUUGACUGGGGCGGUCGCCUCCUAAAGAGUAACGGAGGCGCUCAAAGGUUCGCUCAGCAUGGAUGGAAACCAUGCUCUUGAGUGUAAACGCAAAAGCGAGCCUAACUGCGAGAAUGACGGUUCGAGCAGUAACGAAAGUUGGAGUUAGUGAUCCGGCGGUAUGUGAAUGGAAAUGCCGUCGCUCAACGGAUAAAAGCUACCCUGGGGAUAACAGGCUGAUCUCCCCCAAGAGUCCACAUCGACGGGGAGGUUUGGCACCUCGAUGUCGGCUCAUCGCAUCCUGGGGCUGAAUUCGGUCCCAAGGGUUUGGCUGUUCGCCAAUUAAAGCGGUACGCGAGCUGGGUUCAGAACGUCGUGAGACAGUUCGGUCCCUAUCUGUCGUGGGCGUAGGAUAUUUGCAAGGAGCUGUCCCUAGUACGAGAGGACCGGGAUGGACGCACCUCUGGUGUACCAGUUGUCACGCCGGUGGCACGGCUGGGCAGCUAUGUGCGGAACGGAUAAACGCUGAAGGCAUCUAAGCGUGAAGCCGCCCUUAAGAUAAGAUAUCCCAUCUGUUUACAGAGUAAGACCCCUGAAAGACUAUCAGGUUGAUAGGCUCAAGGUGUAAGUGUGGUGACAUAUUUAGCCAGCGAGUACUAAUCGGUCGAGGGCUUGACCU